CGCAGUCCUGGUGGUUGGGCAUCAACCACAGCCAAAACGCGGAAGCAACGUGGAUUUUACGUGCCUACGUUUAUGUCAAACACAUCGUGAUUGGCUCAUGAAUGAGCAGAUACGUGAAACACGCUGCACAUAGCCAUAUGGAGAAAGGUGAGUGUUGAUCAUUUGUUUGGUACCUAUUCCCCCAAGAGGGGUGCCAGUGUCCUGAUGCUGACCAGUGCCACCGGUUCCGCCACUUGCUUCCUGCUGGAGCCUUAGCACCAACUGGAUGAGGGGACUCCUCUCUGUGUUGAAUUCCCGGCUGUCUAAGGCUUUGAAGUGGAGAGUGGUGUCAAACUACAAGACCGCCAGCAUGUAAACAAGGCCUUGUUUGUCCUUGUUUGGCUACUCACCACUCUUCUACUUCCUGAAGAGGCUGAAGCAUGCUGGCCUUGACAUCUCAGUCCUUGCUUCCAUUAACAGCUGUGUUAUGGUCUACUGCAAUGGGUGGAUAAGGAGGGCAAAUGGCAGGCAGUGUGCUGUGAGGACUGCUGCCCUGAUUCAUACGGAAGAACCAAGCCCGCAAAUGCUUUGGGGAGUGAGACCGCCGGUAUACCCACCUACAGUAUAUUGAUCCUGACAUCAGUGCCAAAUAUUUCUUGAUGGCAAUUGGUCGAAAAAAGCACGGGUGUAUCAUGGCCCAAAUAUGCUGAGGAAUGCAGGCUGCCUUGGUGGGCUUAGGAGUUGCCUUUCACUUCAGUCAGUGACGGAAAAGGUCCAGGACGUAAGGCUUUUACAGCUGAAAAGCUGAGACAGCUUGUGCAGUCCUACAAUGCACAUGUCAAUGAUCAGCUGUUUGUUGAGGCAGCGGCAGCAGAUGCAGCACCAACACCACCAGCAGCAGCAGCGGCAGGAGCAGCACCACCAGCACCACCAGCACUAUAAAUGCCAGCAGCGGCAGAUUAUAAAGAAGGAUAACAAUGAAUACAUGAAAUUAGAGUGGGAAGUUGUGCUUUUAUGUUUCAUGUUUAUGGUUUUAUAUAUAUAUGCACCUUACUUGAGCGUCUCUACAAAUUCAUUAUACUGCAAUGCAAUUACAAUAAAGGCAUUAAUUUGUCACUUCA